UGGGUUGUGGCUCAGUGGUAGAGCACUUGCCUCGCAGGUAUGAGGCCCUGGGUUCAAACCUCAGCACCACAU
rnacentral:tRNA from 1 species